rnacentral:lncRNA from 1 species
UAUGUUGAUGAAGCCUCCAGAUAGCAGGCUUCAGAGAGGAUAGAUGUGCAUGUCUCUUAUAGGCCCUUAAAAGGGUCAGAGUCUCCAGAAAAAGCCUAAUAAGGGAAGCAGAUUCUCUGCAGAAUGCAGAUUUCCCCCAUGAGAGACAGCUUUGCAAGGGCCAUUUCAAUAUAUGUCAAGGAAAUAUAUUUUGGGGUAAAAUACUUUGAUUCCUUCAGGGCUACUGUGUGUCAUGUGAUGCUAUACCAGAGUCCCGUUGAAUUGGGUAUCUUAUUGCUACAAAGAGUCUGUUUUGUCAGUCUAGGAUCUCUGUUUUUAUUUUAAUGUUGGUCAGUUGUGUCUAAAUUCCAGAGCUGGGAGGGUAUAAUGAGGCAUCCCCAGCCCUCCUUCCCAUUCAUGGCCUGAGCUGGUUUUUCAGGUUUUUUUGGGUCCCUGUGGCUGAAAGGGGAUGCACUCAGUUGGCUGGGGACUUAGAAUUUUAGUUUUGGUUUACAGCAGGAUUUGAUGGGCAUGCAUAUUAAUCAAUGUGAAAGUGUUGUCUGUGGGCGGCAGAGGGCUUGGGCCAUGUCCAGGCCACGCACUGCAAGGGUGCAGCCCCCACACAUGGUCCCUGCUCCUAAAGCUGUUGUCCCCACUGCAAGAGUGGAGUAGGUUGAGGUGUAGCCAUGACAUUCUAGAAACUACAUUUUUUGUAAUGGUCAUUUUGAAAAUAAAACAUUUGAAAACACUGUGCAGCAAAAACUUGACUAAUUGGAAUAAAAAUGUUCAGUUUAAUGUCAUUGCUUUCUGCCACUCGUUUUCUGAUUGUAAAACUAGCAUGUGAUUGUAAGCUACUAUUUUGGUAAUGUAGAAAAGUUUAAAGAUGAAAAUAGAUAUCACUUAUAACUCCACAUGGAGAAAUAGUUGCCCCUCCAGUUUAAUUGAUUUACUUUUGGGCCACAGGGGCCCAGAAUUUGAUUCUUUGUACUCCUUGGUUCAUGCCAGUGUUCCUGCACCCAGCACUGAAGCUGGACAUUGACAGUGACUUGCCCCUGCCCCAAAGUCCUCCCUGCAUUCCCCUCGAGGGCCCCCAUCUCCUGGCCCUGGUGUCCACUUUCCUCUCAGCUGCCAGGAACGUGUUAGUGUGCACUGUUCUCCUUCCCCUCACCUGCUGGCAUCAUGUUAGCAUGCACUGUUCUGCUCACUUUCUUCCCUCCUCACCUGCACCGUGCCAUCUUAGCAUCACGCAUGCCUGCACUUUCCUUCUCUCACCUGCCAGGCAUCAUCGUUAGCAUGCACCGUUCUGCUCACUUUCUUCCUCUCACCUGCCGGGACCAUCUUAGCAUGCACCAUUCUGCUCACUUUCUUCUUCUCACCUGCCAGGAUCAUCGUUAGCAUGGCCACCUUUCUGCCACUUUGCUUCCUCCCCUCUCAUCUGCUGGAUCACUUAGAUGACAUGCCUCCUCAUGCUCAUUUAGCAUGCACCAUUCUGCCACUUUCUUCUUCUCGCCUGCUGGGAUGAUGUUCGUGUGUACUGUUCUGCACACUUUCUUCCUCUCACCUGCUGGGAUCACGUUAGCAUGAACCAUUCUGCACACUUCCUUCCCCUCAUCUGCCAAGGUCAUCUUAGCAUGCACCAUUCUGCACACUUUCUUCCUCUCGCCUGCUGGGAUCAUGUUAGCGUGCACGGUUCUGCACACUUGCUUCCCCUCACCUGCCAGGAACAGGUUAGUGUUCCCCACUCUGCACACUUUCUUCCUCUCACCUGCCGGGAUCAUGUUAUCGUGCACUGUUCUGCACACUUUCUUCCUUUCACCUGCCGGAAUCAUGUUAGCGUGCACCAUUCUGCACACUUUCUUCCUCUGUGUAAGUGUGUGUGGUUUUUCCUUUCAGAAAUGGGUCAUACUCUGUGGACAUCUUUUUCCACUUAAAGUGAUGGCACAGCCAUUUUCCCAGUCAAGUAACAUGAAUGUACAAGAUUAGCAAACUUCCUCCUGAGAGAUGGAGAGUUCAAGGCUUCUGCUCCGUGGUGGCCGUCCGUGCACAUGCAUCGCUGUGCGUGAGUUGGUCCCAGUGGCUUGCUGAGACACGCUCUGCACAGGGGAGAUUUCUGAUACCACCAGGGUGGCAGGCAGUGGGGCAGGUGGAGCCACAAGUGGGGAUGAGGGAGCAGAGUCUAGGGCAGGCUCCUGGAUGGACACCAGCUACACUAUCUAUUGGAUGUGGGACUUCCCUCACUGAUGAAAUGAAUAAGAGAAGCUUCCUCAUCCUGCUGUUGUUGGCGUUAAAACGGGUUAAUGCAUGAAAGCAACAGAGCCCGGCCUGCAGACAGCGCUUGGUAAGUCUCCCCUUCCCAGCAUGUUCAACAGGAAGCCCUCAUUCCCCCUAGAAUGUAGGAGUCUUGCCAGCGGUGGCUUGUUUGUUCUCUGCCUGUUGCCGACCUGAUGGGAACAUAAAAUUGGUGUCUUCUGUAUAGAUUUCCUUCUUGUUGCCCCUCCUGUGGCUGAACAUACCUUCCCCUGUGCUUGAAGUCUGUUCAUGUAUGUUCUGCUGCGAUCACUGCCCAUUCUUGUUCUCUGUCUAAUCAAGCAUUUAGUUUUGAAAAUAUUUUUUGGCUUGUAAGAUAUUUGUACAUAUUAAGCACAGCAAAUCUGUAACAUAUUCACUGUAAAUCAUUAUUCCUCAUGCAUCAUUUGCCAUUUAACCGUAGUUUUUUUUUCUUUUUGAUGUAACCUGCUAAAGUUUACAUUUUUAAAUCAGAAAUACAUGCAUAUUUUAAAACGAAGACUCUUAUGCUCUAGCCUUUCAUGCUUGGAAAGUCCUUUUCCACACCAAAAUUAUUUACAUUUUCAUCUCUUUUUCUCUGAGUACAUUUCAGUGUUUAAUUGACCGGGAAUGUAUUUUGAGGUGUGAUGUGAGACAAGGAUCUGAAAUGCUUUGCCCACUGAAUCAUCAUGCACUGACCGAAAUGCCACCUGUAUGAGUGCUAAAAUAAUUGUCACUGGACCUGUGUCUACACUGUUUAAUUUUACUGUUGUUUCUCACAUCGGCUUCUGUUGUUUUCAUGGUUGUGGUUCUCAUACUUUUAAUAUCUGUUGGAGCAAAUAAAGCCUCGUUUCUCAUCUUUUCCAAAAAUGUCUUAUGUAUUUGAACUUUGGUGUUAUUUGUCAAGUCUGGGCAUUCUCCCACCCCCAUAUUAAAGAAUGUCCUCUGGAGUUUGUCUGGAGGUUUUGCUUAACUUUUAGAUUCAUAUCAGGAGAAUCUAUAUCUUCAUGGUUAGUGGUCUUCCCAUCCGAGACUAUUUCUUCAAGCUGUUUUUAAUAAAAAGCUGUGUGUUUUUUGUAUGUUUA